AGCGCUGCUCCACCCCAAGUCCAUCAAUGAGUACGGUAGUACAGACAUGGCCCAUGGAGGGUGAAAGGCCCGUUCGGGUGGAGAUUCGGCAGGCCAGUGCUUCUCUGGGUAGACCUUGGAGUCGGGUUGUUUGUGAAUGCAGCCCAAAGUGGGUGGUAAACUCCAUCCAAGGCUAAAUACAAGCACGAGUCCGAUAGCGAACAAGUACCGUGAGGGAAAGUUGAAAAGUACUUUGAAGAGAGAGUUAACAGUGCGUGAAACCGCUCAGAGGUAAGCAGGUGGAGUUGAACUGCAAGCUUUGAGAAUUCAGCUGGUGAGGUUGGUUUGGGCUUGGUCAAAUUGGUUGGGCCCCGAAGUACGUUAAACCACGUGUCCUUUCCCUUUGGGUUGGGAUGUGCGAUACACUUACCAAGUGUUGCACGCUUUGGGUGUUCAUCGAGCCUCCUUGUCAGUGCACUUUCUCAGAGUGGUCACCACGACCGACGCCGCUGUCAGGCUGUCAUAGUUAAACCGGUCUUGUAGUGUCCUUGUGGCAUUGCCUGGUCGGGAUGGCAGGUAGCUUGUUGGCUCGCUUCGGCUUGCUUUCGAGUGUAAUCAGCUGACUGUGACGGUUCUGUGCAGUGCGUCGGAGACGGCGGCCAGUGGUGUGUGCAUGCGUGCCCGAUUUGUUGGCGUACCCUGGUUUGGUUUCUGUGUUGCCUGUGAUAGCAGGCCUAGUUAUGGCUGGGGUUCGUUCGGCGAAUGGUUGCGUGUGUGGCACUUCCAAGGGCCAAUAGUCUGUGGUGUAGUGGUAGACUAUCCACCUGACCCGUCUUGAAACACGGACCAAGGAGAGUAACAUGUACGCGAGUCAUUGGGCGUAACGAAACCCACAGGCGCAGUGAAGUAAG
rnacentral:rRNA from 1 species